GAGCUGACUGAUGGGUUCACGUGGUUCCUUUGAAAAAAUAAACGUGUUUUGAUGGCACAGCUGACUGAUGGGUGCGCAUGGUUCCUUCGUAUGUUCUUCCUUUGAAAAAAUAAAUGGGUUUUGAUGCCAGAGGUGACUAGCGCAUUUU